UGCGAAGAGACACAUCAGCGAAGCGGUAAGGCGGAAAUUGGCGGAACUUCUGAACCCUAAACGUUUCUCAACGAAGGUGACGAGAAACUUGAACCAACUGAAGUUUUCACCAAUUCUUAGACAAAAGACAAACAAUGGUGACGGAAAAAAUCGGAAAGAUCUUCAAAGAUGUCUACUACGAUCAGUUCAAGUGGUCAAUGGUGAAGAACAUUGCUUUCUUUAUUGUUGGUGUUAAAAUCGCCAUUGAAUGCAAUGGGAUGACGCUAAUGCCAGUCUCCGUUUAAACUUAUCAUGAAUCCAUCAUAAAAUCCA